GGAGCGCGGGUGAAAUCAUGCAAUAGGGUGCGCAACAAUAAAAUUAAACAUAAAAAUUGGACAUUGUAAUUGUUCAAUGUUUAUACCUAGAAAAGUAUAAAAGAUGGAAUGUCGAAUGUGAAUGUUCUCUUUUUGCUGUGGAUUCUUGUACGUAAUAGUAGUGCGCGCGUGUGUAAAUGUUAUUUAAUUUUGAGAUUGUUAUUUGUUUAGUACAAACAUGCAAGUUAGUACGGAUUAAAAUCACCACAGUCUAAAACGGUGAUUAUUAGUAUGAACACGAAUUAAAACCCAAGAAAAAGCAAGUGAACAAACAAAACAAACAAAAAUACCAACAAGAAAAAGGUCCAGCGGGCCUUUUUCUUUU